rnacentral:rRNA from 2 species
AGGAAGCGAGAAGUCGACGCGCCGACCCCCGCAAGGGGGGCGAGGCGUCCGGCCCUCCGCGAGCAUCCGCGUGGGUGUGGGUUACGGACCCCGUCCGAUCCCGUUCCCACCGCGGGGCUGUCCGCGAUCAUGGAGGUGUCCUCGGACGGCGUCGAAUCACUCAAAGUUCUCCAGUCCGCGACGCUACGGCUUGGAUGGUCCACCCGACCCGUCUUGAAACACGGACCAAGGAGUCUAACAUGCGCGCGAGUCGUUGGGUCGGACACGCUCCGCUAAACCCAUAGGCGCAAUGAAAGUGAAGGCCGCCGUUCGGGCGGCCGAGGGAGGACGGGGCCGGCCGGGCGCUCCGGUGCUCGGCGGUCCCCGCACCCCCGGGGCGUCUGAUCCCUCAUCGCGAGGGGAGGCGCACCCAGAGCGCACACGUUGGGACCCGAAAGAUGGUGAACUAUGCCUGGCCAGGACGAAGUCAGGGGAAACCCUGAUGGAGGUCCGUAGCGAUUCUGACGUGCAAAUCGAUCGUCGGAGCUGGGUAUAGGGGCGAAAGACUAAUCGAACCAUCUAGUAGCUGGUUCCCUCCGAAGUUUCCCUCAGGAUAGCUUGCGCUCGGAGGAGAGUCUCAUCCGGUAAAGCGAAUGAUUAGAGGCCUUGGGGCCGAAACGGCUUCAACCUAUUCUCAAACUUUAAAUGGGUGAGAACUCCGGCUUGCUCGACCGAUCGAAGCCGGAGACGGGGCCGUCCCUCGGGGCGGACCCCCGGGAUCGGAGUGCAUAGUGGGCCACUUUUGGUAAGCAGAACUGGCGCUGUGGGAUGAACCAAACGACGGGUUAAGGCGCCCGAAUCGACGCUCAUGGGAAACCAUGAAAGGUGUUGGUUGCUUAAGACAGCAGGACGGUGGCCAUGGAAGUCGGAAUCCGCUAAGGAGUGUGUAAUAACUCACCUGCCGAAGCAACUAGCCCUGAAAAUGGAUGGCGCUGAAGCGUCGUGCCUAUACCCGGCCGUCGCGGCAGGGCGGACCCGGCCUCGCGUCGGGUGCCGCUUGAUGCGGCGACGAGUAGGAGGGUCGCGGCGGCGCGCGCAGAAGGGUCUGGGCUCGAGCCUGCCUGGAGCCGCCGCCGGUGCAGAUCUUGGUGGUAGUAGCAAAUACUCCAGCGAGGCCCUGGAGGACUGAUGUGGAGAAGGGUUUCGUGUGAACAGCCGUUGCACACGAGUCAGUCGAUCCUAAGCCCUAGGAGAAAUCCGACGCCAACGGCGACGGGAGAAAUUUUGAAAGAGAAAGAAACCCGUUGAUCGGGCGAAAGGGAAUCCGGUUCCUAUUCCGGAACCCGGCAGCGGAACCGCUGUUUGUCGGGCCCUCACAAGGGGUUCGUCAGGGUAACCUAAAAGGGCCCGGAGACGCCGUCGGGAGCCCCGGAAAGAGUUUUCUUUUCUGCAUGAGCGUUCGAGUUCCCUG